rnacentral:rRNA from 1 species
CCAUCGCUCAACGGAUAAAAGGUACUCCGGGGAUAACAGGCUGAUACCGCCCAAGAGUUCAUAUCGACGGCGGUGUUUGGCACCUCGAUGUCGGCUCAUCACAUCCUGGGGCUGAAGUAGGUCCCAAGGGUAUGGCUGUUCGCCAUUUAAAGUGGUACGCGAGCUGGGUUUAGAACGUCGUGAGACAGUUCGGUCCCUAUCUGCCGUGGGCGCUGGAGAACUGAGGGGGGCUGCUCCUAGUACGAGAGGACCGGAGUGGACGCAUCACUGGUGUUCGGGUUGUCAUGCCAAUGGCACUGCCCGGUAGCUAAAUGCGGAAGAGAUAAGUGCUGAAAGCAUCUAAGCACGAAACUUGCCCCGAGAUGAGUUCUCCCUGACUCCUUGAGAGUCCUGAAGGAACGUUGAAGACGACGACGUUGAUAGGCCGGGUGUGUAAGCGCAGCGAUGCGUUGAGCUAACCGGUACUAAUGAACCGUGAGGCUUAACCUUACAACGCCGAAGCUGUU